rnacentral:rRNA from 1 species
UGCGUAGGCGGUUAGUUAAGUCUGUUGUGAAAUCCCCGGGCUCAACCUGGGAAUGGCAAUGGAUACUGGCUAGCUAGAGUGUGUCAGAGGAUGGUGGAAUUCCCGGUGUAGCGGUGAAAUGCGUAGAGAUCGGGAGGAACAUCAGUGGCGAAGGCGGCCAUCUGGGACAACACUGACGCUGAAGCACGAAAGCGUGGGAGCAAACA